rnacentral:piRNA from 1 species
AACCUCAGUGACUUUCUUUAUUUGUAG